rnacentral:rRNA from 1 species
GCCUUCAUGAAGCUGGAAUUGCUAGUAAUGGCAGGUCAGCAUACUGCCGUGAAUACGUUCCCGGGCCUUGUACACACCGCCCGUCACACCAUGAGAGUUGGGAAUACCCGAAGCCUGUGAGCUAACUUAAAGAGGCAGCAGUCGAAGGUAGAGCCAAUGAUUGGGGUGAAGUCGUAACAAGGUACC